GCGGGCGUGGCCUGUGCGGGUCUGGGACAGGGGCCUGGGCACGGGGAGGCCGGGAGCAUUCCCGGGUGUCUACGGUGUUUCAAAAGCACUGUCACUGCUACUUAGCCCUGGCCUCGCAAUGCCGGCCAACAAGCAUCCUGCUCCGAUGCUGUGCGCGGCCAUGACCGCCUCCCUCUCCAGGACUGACGCUCUCUCUCGCUCCCCCAGCAGCCAGCGGGAGAGGACUGUCCUUUCCACCUGAGAGCCUCCCCACGCAAGGCCAUGCCCACUCCCUGGGGCAGCGUAUUCUCAGACAGGUCCUUCCACCCUCAGCACCACUCUGAAGGGUCACCUUAGCCCCAGGGCUACCCGCGGCCUCUGUUGCCAGUGCAGGCAGCCCCGCGGGCCUCCCCCUGCCCCACCCCCAGGAAGGGGGCUUCCCUUCCCCCACGGUGUGCAUCCUGACCGCAUCCCCCAUGAAUGUCCCGCACACAGAUCUCCGUCUCCUGGGGAAUCCGUCCCGCAGCGGCUUGUCUGUCCCGCACCGUGCUAAGCGCUUACGCACGUUAUUCCAUGUAAUGCUGCCACAGCCCAGGAGGCAGGCAUGUUGUUACCCUGUUUAUGGAUGAGCAUGGAGGAACGGAAGGGCUGCAUAACUUGCCCAAGGUCACAGAGCUGGCAGGUGUCAGAGCCAGGACUCCCAUCAGACUCCGGAGCUCUGAAGAGUGAAAAGCAAACCUGGGAAAAGUAACCAAAAAACCUGAAGAUGCAGAACAUGGCGUUUUGUAUGCCGCCGCCUGGGUAACAGCGAUGAAAGGACACAUACCUGAGUGCUGUGUAUUUAUUCACUGGAUCGCUUGGGGGACACGCAGGAGCCAGUAGGAGUGGAAGCUUCUGGGUGGCCAUGGGUGGCCGAAGACACGGCAUGAGGAGGAAGACUGCACUUUUUGAAUUUCGUAUUGUGUCCAUUUAUAAUGAAUUAAUAUAAGUAAAACAUUUAUAAUCGUACCUGGCACAUAGUAAGUAUACAUAUACACUAGUGUUGUUUUUAUUAAUCAUAUAAAUUAUUUGGAGGGGCCGAGGCCUGGGAGGGGAGAGCAGAGCUGGGUGGUGGGUGGGAGCGGGUCUGACCCGCCAGCUGGGUGGCCUGGUGGUGGCCGGGAGAGUCGACUGGGGACAGGGCUCCUGGGAGCUCCCAGGAAGCAGGGGGGACGUAGGUCUCCCUGUAAAGCUGGGGACACGCUCCCUGACAAGACCCCAGGUUUCCCAGAGCAUCUGUGAUGCAGAGGGCGACUCCAGGAGAGGCCGCGGGAUCUGGCGCAUUCAGGCUGUGCAGUGAGGCCUCACCAGCAGGGACAGUGUUUCAGAGGGCACGCAGGGCCUGUCCUCUGGGUUGGCUGAAUGACCUUCCAGGGGUUUGCAGCUGGCCCUGUCUCAUGGGCCAUCAGGACAGGGCCGGGACCGGGUUCCCCGUCUCCAACACGAGUGGGGACAGCGCCCUGCAGCAACAGGGCUCGGAAGGCCUACAAGACCCGGGUGCGCUUACAUGUCUGUCUCUUCUGACUUCUGUUCUACUGGAGCCUGGCCGCCUGGGGAGCACUUGGGAGCUAGGACACAGCCUAUCAACUCCCCAGGAUGUAUCUGGACUGAGGACACAUCCUCGGGGAGGCAGGGAGGAGAACUGCUCUGCUGAUUCUUGGGGUUUUCAAAGGAAGAUGAUCCUGGCACUGCAGGGGGGUAACGCGGGUGGGGGAGCAGCUUUCCGCAGCCAGUCCGCCCCUGGAGAAGGCAGUGUCAGGAGGAGUGGCCACUUCGCACCUGUUCGCACACACCAGCUGAUUCCUGAACUGCAAGGGUGGGCGGUGCCCCCGGCACCUUGGGGACAGGGAGGAAGCCGCCUUCCAGGUGCGGGGCGGGGGAUGCUGGGUCCUCAGCCACGCCACGGAGCGCUCACCUCCGUCAUAAUCACAGGAGCACAGACGCGCGCUCUGCUCUUCUAAAAUGCCACUUUCCACCCAUCAGAUUGGCACUGUGUGCCCGGGGCACAGGCCCUUUCCCUGGAGGGAAGCUGACCCGGCGCGGCCCCCGGGGGCAUUUGGCAAUAGCUAGCAAAUGCAAACUGUAUGCCGUGGGCUAGGAAUUCCAUUUCAAGAAAGCUGGCCUACAGAUAUACCAGCAAAAUGGCAUCAUGUCAUGGUAGCACUGUGUGUUGGAAAUUCUCCAAAUAGAGAAGUGGUGAUAAAUGAGAACAGACACAGCGGGGAACACGCGGCGGCCACAAAAACAGAUGAGGAAGCUCUUCAUGGACCAACAUGGAUGAGCCCCUGGAGAUAUUAAGUGGGGGAAAGAAAUGCAUCGCAGGCAUGCAGCAUAUGUUGUCUGUCUCUGCUCGGUGUGCAGAGAUCUCUGGAAGACACCUCAGAAACCGGUAUCGCAGGCUGCGGGCUGGAAGGGGCCUUGGCGACCUGUGAAGGCUGGGUCCGUGGGUCCCACCCAUCCGAGAAUGAGCACACCUGCGCCCUCUGGCGGCAGGGGCUCCGCACUGCACGGGAGAGGGCGGGGCUGGGAGCCCAGCUGGUCACCCGUUAGUAGAUUGGGGACCUCACGCAAAUCCCUAACCCCUCUGUUUCUGUUUCCUCUCUGUCAAGCCGUAAAAAUACCAGUGCUAUUAAUAAAUGAGAUGGUACUCGUGUAAGUGGGGAUAAGUGCGCCACCUCAUCAGGUUCCUGUGAGGAUUAGCAAUAUGUGAAGCUCUUGGGCCUGCAGCAACGCUCGGUAAAUGAUUUUGUUCCCGAAUACGUCUUGGACAUCAAGCAAAGCAGACCACUUGGCUUCUCAACGGCACCUUGACCCUGAUAGGAUCAAAACGCACACUCCUCAGGGCCCGUCGUCAGCCUGCGUUCCGUCGCUUGGCCUGUGCUCCCUCGUGCUGUGGUCUGCUCUCUGCCUGGAAUGUCCCUCCCUCCUCUGCCUGACUUGCUCAGCCUCCGGGGCCAGCUCAAAGGUCACCAGCUCCAGGCUCCUCCCGAAGUCCCGGCCUGGAAGGAGCUGUGCCCCUCCCUCUGUGAUGGCACCGGCACGCAGGUGCCCUUCUGCGGGGCAUCCUCACACCAGUGGUGGUUACGUCCCCAACGCCAGCCGAUACACACACACACACACACACACACACACACACACACACACACACACUCACUCGUUACAAAGGUCACCAUGUUUUGUGACCCUGCGGUGGAAACAGGCACUGAGGUGAGAGUGCAAACCGAUGGUCUUGUGAGGAGAACUGGGCGGCGUCUGUCUGCGCUCAGCAGGCACGUGCAGCCAAGGACGCACGCACAAGCUGCUCCUCCCAUCAGCUGGGAGCUGGGUGAGCAAGUGAAGGGAGACCAGACAAUGGGACACUGUGCAGCCGAGAAACAGAACCGAGAUGUUUUAUUAUUGACAUGGAACCAUCGCCGAAAGUUACACUGGAAAGUGGUGUAAAAAGGGGAGAACGUAUAUACAAGCAUUUGCAUUUGAUGUAUAGACUAUUUCAAGAAGAAUACAAAAACCAUACCGAUACCAGCACCCCGGGAGCCUCUGGGGCGAGAACUGGGAGUCUGGGAAGCAGGAGGAGGGAGAUGCUGCUAUCACAUACCUUUUCCUCCUUUAAACUUUAUACUGUGUACAUGUAUUAUCUAUUCAAAAUAAAAUAACUUUUUAGUAAA